AUGUUCCAUAGGGUUUUUUUUUUGAAACAGAGGCAUAAGAUUUUGCCUCAUGUACUAAUCGAGAGAACAGAGUUUUACAAGUACCCUCAAAACAACGCAUGGCAAGCGGGGAAGCCCCAUGGCAGUGUCACUGCAGCAGGGAGGGCCUGCAACAGGGGGGGCUGGGGUUGGUUGGGGAGGAGGGUGGUCGGCGGCACCGGGGUGGCCACCGUCGGUGGGCGCUGUUGGUCGCAGGAGCGGGAGCGGGGUGUCAUUUUUUCAAAUGUGACACAGCGCAUAAAGAAGAAACGAUUUGACUGUGUUGAUCCUUUAAGAACAAAAUUAUUUAGAAAUGAUUUGAGGCAGGUUGAGGCAGCAUUGUAG
rnacentral:rRNA from 1 species